UACGAAGGGGGCUAGCGUUGUUCGGAAUUACUGGGCGUAAAGCGCAUGUAGGCGGAUAUUUAAGUCAGGGGUGAAAUCCCGGAGCUCAACUCCGGAACUGCCCUUGAAACUGGGAAGCUAGAAUCUUGGAGAGGCGAGUGGAAUUCCGAGUGUAGAGGUGAAAUUCGUAGAUAUUCGGAGGAACACCAGUGGCGAAGGCGGCUCACUGGUCCAUUACUGACGCUGAGGUGCGAAAGCGUGGGGAGCAAACAGG
rnacentral:rRNA from 1 species